rnacentral:rRNA from 1 species
UACGGGGGGGGCAAGCGUUGUUCGGAAUUACUGGGCGUAAAGGGCUCGUAGGCGGCCAACUAAGUCAGACGUGAAAUCCCCAGGCUCAACCUGGGAACUGCGUCUGAUACUGGAUGGCUUGAAUCCGGGAGAGGGAUGCAGAAUUCCAGGUGUAGCGGUGAAAUGCGUAGAUAUCUGGAGGAACACCGGUGGCGAAGGCGGCAUCCUGGACCAACACUGACGCUGAGUGAGCGAAAGCCAGGGGAGCAAACGGG